rnacentral:rRNA from 1 species
GACGAACGCUGGCGGCAUGCUUAACACAUGCAAGUCGAACGGAAAGGCCCCUUUUGCGGUUCUCGAGUGGCGAACGGGUGAGUAACACGUGAGUAACCUUCCCUUGACGUCGGGGUAACUUCAGGAAACUGGGGCUAAUACCGGAUAGGAAUCCUUGCUGCAUGGUGGGGGUUGGAAAGCUUCGGCGGUUUUGGAUGGACUCGCGGCUUAUCAGCUUGUUGGUGGGGUAGUGGCUUACCAAGGCUUUGACGUGUAGCCGGCCUGAGAGGGCGACCGGCCAUAUUGGGACUGAGAUACGGCCCAGACGCCUACGGGUGGAAGAAGUGGGGAAUCUUGAACCAUCGGCGGAAGGCUGAUGCAGAAACGCCGCGUGCGGGAUGACGGCCUUAGGGUUGUAAACCGCUUGCAGCAGGGUCGAAGCUUGUGGUGACGGUACCUGCAGAAGAAGCACCGGCUAACUACGUG